GGCUAAGAGGGAUGCUAAGCGGAUGUCUGCAAGAGAAGUGGCUAUUAAUGUUACAGAGAAUAUUCGGCAGAUGGACAGAAGUAAAAGGGUCACCAAGAACUGCAUCAAUUAGCAGUGCCCGGAUCUGGAGGCAGAUGAACUUCUUGGUGGAGUCUAGUCAAAGAAUCCUGAAGAAGUUGAUGUCACUCGAUGAGUGUGGAUGCCUCUGAGUGACACACGGCCACCCAACGCUGUGACGAACAUCUCGGUUUCCUGUUUAUCACAUAUAGAAAAUACAUCGAAAAGUCCUGAAAUAUGUUCAUAGAUUGCCAAAAUGUGGUUUGUUUUUCCCCUCUGCAGCUUCCGUAGCAUGGUCUGCUGUAGCCAUGGUGACUGGCACAGAAAGGCUGGAGUAACGGAAUCCCUGUCAAGGAGCUCACACUCGUGCAGAGCUUUCUCAGUGUGUGGUUGCAGACAAACUCCUUCUUUCCUCCUUUCCUUUUAAAUACGGCCACCACAAAAUUUACUGUUUUCACUUAAGAGCUGGCUCCCAGCCAACUCUAAAUCCAGAAAUACAAGAAUCCAAAAAACCAGAGAGACUUGGAACGAGCUGAAUCAGUCCCAGCUUCACGUGCUGGCUCCCCGGUGCCUACUCGGUGUCUUUGAGAGGUGUCUAUGAGACACGCACAUGCACACGCGCGCACACACACACACAUACCUGUUUCUCCUCUACCUGGAAAGGACUCCCAGGCUAGCAUCCAGGCGUUGGCUUCCAAACCAGAAUGUCACAUGCCUGUGGCCUUUGCUCCCUUUGGGACCUAGCUUCAUGUUGCUUUUCCCCAUAGCUUUCCAGUUCCCUAUUGUUCUGGUGGGCUUUGUACCUUCAGUCAGGUGGUCAUUUGCAGCUGGACACCACUCACAGGGGGGAAAGUGACCUAGGAACACAUGGUGGCACACGUGAUACCCCUUUGGCCCUUCUGUACACAGCCCCAAGGACCAUGUUAUUUUUGGUAUCUGCAGAGUAAUUAGUUUGGAAAGCCAGAGGCUGGUUGAUGUAUAUUCCUGUUGACAUAGUCUAACAAGGCACUCACUGUAUUGAAAAACAGGCACCAACAUGGUAAAGCGAUGCUUUGAUAGGAACCCUUCCCCAGCAUUCCUAAGCACACCUUCCUGCAGAGUAUGACACAGCAUGAGUCUGAAAGGACUGUUAACAUGCUUGGGCUUAUUAAGGUCCAAGUCAUAUCAAACUGUACCAACAAACUCACAUCUAGCAGCAAUAGUAGUCUGGCGGCAUGCUUACGUGACAGUUCAAGAGAAGUCACCCAAGCGGAUUAAGAUGCAGAUGCUCACUGCUGUCUCUGACUUAUUUCUCCAACACAAGUAGAACUGUAGACUGUAUGUUUAUUAGUGUUAAGAUUCACUGCCAACCUUGUGCCAGCUACAGUAACAGUCGCAGAGGGAUUUGGAGUCGGGAAGUCACGACUGUACUUCUGACUCUGUGAGGAGGCUUGGUACUCAGGAGACUGACACGGACCCUGUGGCACAAGACCAAUGAUUGCAGUGGAAUCUCACACUUAGGUAAAGGUAGCUUUCUGUCAAUCACAGAUGUAUGUCUUCUCCUUUGCCGUAUACACCACAGUUCCCCCGCCACCCCCAACCUCUCUCAUCUUGACUCCUUGUCAAAGGGCUUUUAGGGAACUUCAUGUUCUGACAAUUUAACUAAUAAAACAAAAGCAAGCCCCGUGACUCCUGUGUCCUCAGCGGCAUUGCUGGGCAGGAGUCCUUCCACAGGGUUGGCCAUGGGUCCAAUCCUGCAAGCUCAAGGGCUUGCGCUCCAGGGCAUGUGCGCUGUGUUUUGACAUGCUGCUUCCCCAGUUGAUGCUAUCGGCCAUGGGCUAAGGCCGGCUUCUCUUCCCAACUCUGUGUUUGCCUCAGCUCAUUGGAAUUUACCAUCUGGGAAAGUUGUCUCUGCAAAUACAGAAACACGUUCUCACUCUGCGAGGAGAAGGGAGGGAGGGAGGGAGGGCCUGUGAUCUGGCACACCAUUGAAAUUUCCAUCUGGCAAGUUUUAAAUGUGUGUUUAAAGCAGGAACUGACUCUUACUAUCCUAGUGGGAUAACACUUUCCAUUCUGAAGUUUGUGUCAAUAAAGUCAUUAAUUUC
rnacentral:lncRNA from 1 species